rnacentral:ncRNA from 1 species
GUAUCUGAGGAGCGUUGCGACGGGAACAACCCGCCAGGCUCAGAUAGUGGUUGCACAUACCCGCUCAGUCAUU